rnacentral:rRNA from 1 species
UGGGGAAUAUUGCACAAUGGGCGCAAGCCUGAUGCAGCCAUGCCGCGUGUAUGAAGAAGGCCUUCGGGUUGUAAAGUACUUUCAGCGGGGAGGAAGGCGAUAAGGUUAAUAACCUUGUCGAUUGACGUUACCCGCAGAAGAAGCACCGGCUAACUCCGUGCCAGCAGCCGCGGUAAUACGGAGGGUGCAAGCGUUAAUCGGAAUUACUGGGCGUAAAGCGCACGCAGGCGGUCUGUCAAGUCGGAAGUGAAAUCCCCGGGCUCAACCUGGGAACUGCAUUCGAAACUGGCAGGCUAGAGUCUUGUAGAGGGGGGUAGAAUUCCAGGUGUAGCGGUGAAAUGCGUAGAGAUCUGGAGGAAUACCGGUGGCGAAGGCGGCCCCCUGGACAAAGACUGACGCUCAGGUGCGAAAGCGUGGGGAGCAAACA